ACUAAAGUCUAUGCAUUUACUGAACAGGCAGAUCCUGUCUGAUCUUGGAAGCUAAGCAGAGUAGGGCUUGGUUAGUACUUGGAUGGGAGACCACUAAGAAGAUCAGGUGCUGUAGGUG
rnacentral:rRNA from 1 species